CAGGACACCACCCCCGAGCCCUGCUUGUCCUGGCAGAGGGGAGGAUGCUGUUUGCCUGAACGUCACCUUCAGUGUGCAGCAGCCACUUUGACAUGUCCUCUGACAUUCUGUGUGACAGAGCCCACUGGGGAAUUUGCAAGCCUGAAGAUUUGCCUCUUACAAGAUUCCUGCAGGAAACGCACAGAAGAACAAAGCUUUGGAUUAUGCCUGUGAUGGGAAAAGCUGCAGCGAUGACUGACUGCAAAGGCUGAUCCUUCUCACACCAAAUACCACUGCCUUGCCACCAGAUGGAGGCAACACGUUCAGUUGCAAACCCAAAGCCCAACCCAGCAGCUCCCAACAGGAGCUGCUCUGCCCUGGCACCUCUGGAGCCUCAGAUCCAGACUGAACUCCCAACUUCAGCUUCUCCACUUCAAACUCCUGGAAAGAUGUGAAGCCCUUGAGCUCUUGAAGGCUCUGAACCACUUGACCAUUCCUCUUCACUGGAUAAACCACUCCUGCUUGUUUAUCUUUCCUGCUUUUUCAUGCUCUGGACUAUCAAUAAGAAUUACUAAAAUAAUUCAAAGCUCAUCCCUGAGAGAAAAGCUGUAGCUGAAAGCCACCCCAGGGCUGGGCUGGGAUCACCCCCUGGCUCCAGGAGGGCAGGUAUUGAUGGAGGCACGGGGAAGUGUCAGUUUGAUGAGGAGAAUGAGGAGCCCUUUGGAAGAUUGGAAUAUUUUCCCAUUUGCUCCAGUCCUCUCUGCCUGGCCGUGGUGGCUGCCCCUCAGCCCCCCUGGGAAUGCUCUCCCCACACUCAGUGUACAUUGGCAGCCACCCUGCUUCCAACUCUGAGAACAUCCCACUCUGCUGCAGCAGGACUGGGAGAGUUUGGCUUUGUUUGUUUUCCUUCCCCCCCAGGAGGAGGCUGUUCCCGAAAAUGCUCCCAGUGAUUCUCACCUCAGGAUUGCUGCUUCAGUGAAAUGUACCCAGUUCUCUGGGAAAGGCUGGCUUUGAUGACUACUCAGGUUUGAAGGAAUUCUGGAAGAGAUUAUUGAACCAGGACUUUUCAACAUUCUCAUAAAGAAAGCUGUGUUUCUCAUUUGAAGGUGACUUUCUAAUUUGGAAUUGGAAUAGUAUUUUCUUUAGAUAGGAAAUAGUCCAAUUCUGAAAUAGCAAUGUUUUGUAUCUUUAUAUAUCUCUAUUAACCUGAUAUCAUUAUGGAAUGUAUAAUUUACAGUUAUUAUGGCAAAAAGAAAAUAUUUGAGAUAAUUCCUUUUAAAAUAAAAAUCUGUUGAGAGAAGUGAUUCAGAAAUUUCAAGAAGCCUUGAAUGUAAGAAAAUCUUUUCCCUUCUCUUUCAAGUACCAUUUGCUUGAAUGCCAUUUAAUGUUGGUUUUACAUUUGGCUGAAUUUCCUCUGUUUUAAAGACUUUUAAUUUGCAUUAAAAAAAAAAGCUUGGAAAUCCAUGUGGUGGCCACUGAGGACUUGCACUAUUGAAAAAUGUUGCUAGGAGCUGGAGAUCCAAGAAACCAAACACAAGAAAACUGCUCCUGGAAGUCCAGAAAUAGGAAGAAUGAGGAGAUCAGUGAGUUAGUAUUGCUGGGGCCUGGACAUUUGAUGUCAAGGGAUGUGGAGUAUGGAUAUCAGGGUUUAGGGACACUGGGGCAGAAAAGGCAGCCACCAGUGAUUAGAAGGAUAAUUGUACCAGGACAGAGAGAAAUAAAAACAAGUUUAUUGCUCGCAGUUUGUGUUGGUGCUGUAUUUCUAAGGGGACCAUGAGUAUGGGCUAACCCAGCAUGAGAUCAAACAGCAGUGCCUGCUCUAAUGUUUUUUUGCCCCCCCCAAAGACUGUUUAUUAGCAGUUUAUUUAAAAUAAUGAAAUAUGAGUUGUCAGUUUAUUCAGGCUAAAUUUUAACAUGGAUUUCUGUGCAAAGGCAGAAUCACUUCUGAGCUAAAAUCAUGUAUGAACUCUGCAACCCUUUGGCUUCUCUUUGUCAACUUUCCCAGAUUAAAAUGGUUUUGCUUUUAGGAAUGACCUCUCUCAUUUUCAGGUACUCUUUGAGAUCUGUUGCCAGGCCAUUGGUUCACUAGUGUGGGUUUCCUGACAAUGGUUAGGAAGCAAAGGACAGACCUUUAAAGAAAAGACACCCAUGCACACACCAGUUACCCACACUGCAGCUUUUAGGAAGGUUUUUGCACCAAGCCUGUUUUGACUUAUGUAGAUUUUUGCUCUAGAUUUUAGUCAGAAACUGAACUCAGUAAACUUGAGUCUGUCCUGAACUGUACAUCUGAAGGAACAGACUUGGAAUUUUGGUCUGCAGCUGAUACUUGUAGUUGUGUCCCCCAUAUCUCAAGACCAAAUAGCAGUUCAUAUGUGAACACCCUCUUAGCAGCAGAGAUUUAGCAUGAGCUUUUUUGCAAUAAACCCCCACUGCUUGGUUUAACAUGUUAUUUUUAAACUUGGAA